rnacentral:lncRNA from 1 species
ACUUCCAUGCAGAUACGACACCUAAUUUCUUCUCUCCACUUUUUAACUCUCUCUCCUCCCUCUACUUUUCUCUUUCUCUCUCUACUUUUUUGUCUUCCUAUUUUUGCCAUUCAUCUUCUAAUCUCUUUCCCUUUUGUAACGUCUGUUUGUUUUUUGACAUUAAUCUCUAUCUAUUUUCAGCCUGUUCUUGAUAAGAUUAAAAGGAGCCCAAAUUAGUAUGCAAAAAAAAAAAAUCAAAACAAAAAAAGAUCAGUGGGCGGUGGAAACGAGGCCAAGAAUUUAAAUCUGUGGUCGUGAUUUAACGACGAUUAAUCUUCAUAGCCGAAAUUCGAGAUCUCAUUUUAAGUCGCUCUCUCUCUUCCCUUCAGACCAAUUCACACGUCUCUCCACACGCUUUUCUCUCUCUCAAUCUCUAUAAAUUCUCGCUCCUCCACUGUCUUCAACCCUGCAAUUUGCACAAAGAUGUCGAAAUUUGUUAUUUUCGUUUUCUCUCUCUUCCUCCUCCUCUCUGCUGCAGUUUCUAUUCGGCCCGAACCCACCAUCCCCCAUACAACCCAACAGCCGGUAAGCACUUUCUCUCUCUAACUUUGAUUGUUUUUAUAAUCUCUCUCUCUCCCUUGAGUCUCCUCCCCUCUCUUAAUUCUCUCUUUCUCUGGUUUUAUUCUUUUAACAAGUCUCUCGUAUUUAGGUUCUGUAUCUUUCGUCUUAUGGUUUUCUAAUAUGUUGUUAAAUAUUACAAUUCUCUCUCUCUACAUGUUUCUUUCUCUCUCUACGUUUCUAUGUUUCUUUCUCUCUCUUAAUUUUAAUGGGGUUUUGUGAAACCAGGGUUUGGGUGGAGAGGAGAUAGAUGAAUCGUGUGAGAAUUUGAACGAGGAAGAAUGCUUGAUGAGAAGGACGCUUGUGGCUCAUACCGACUAUAUAUACACCCAGAAGCAUAAUAAGCCUUGAAAUUGUUUUGGGUUUCAUUGAUGGCUUGUAAUUUCUGAUAUCUCAGUCAAUAAGAUUUCAUAUACAUAUUUAUGCGAUUUAAUGGCGUGUAUAUACUUUUUUUUCUCUCUUUUUACUUUUUCUUGUUAUGGGUUUGUGUUUGGCGAUUGAACAGAGCUAGACAGAGAGUCUCUGUAAUUCAGUUCUAUUUGUCUAUGUAACUGCAAAAGUUUUAGACAGGAGAUAUUGAAGAAUUCGAUUUUAAUACGCCCAACUGACUGGUAAUAAUUGUAGUCUUAAAAACUGUGUUAAAAUGUGGUGCGUUUUCUCUUCAUUUGCUAAAGUCUGUCUAGUUGCAUUUAAUUUCUUUUUUAAUUUCCUUCUGACUCACCCGAUAAGCGUUUGUUCAUUUGAUUCAUUCAUGACGAGUUGGCGCUCUAUGCACCUCUUCUGUAAUGAACAUCUUGUUUCUCUCUCUUCCUCUCUGCUAAACCUAGAAGUUUGAUUUGUUAACGAUAAUUCUCUCUCUCUCUCUUUAACGGCGAUAACUCUCUCUCUCUCUCUCAUAUGGACAUCAUUGACCAACCAAAUUCUUUCUCUCACCCGGUCAUAACAAUUUCAACCGCCCCUAUUUACAUGAGAUUAUUAUUUAUUGGAAUGUUUUGUGUUUUCUAUUUGGACACGGUUUUAUAAGCCCUUGUAGAAAUGCGUCCCCUCUUAAAAACAAAUUUUCCUUUCUAUUUCUCUUUAUGUUUAUUCCGCUUGAUAUGAUGGUUUCUGUGAGUCCUUGAGUCUUCCCC